UCUUUGUAUAUAAUGUAUAGCUAUAAAUAAAUCAUCUGUAGUAGUUAACGUCAACUAUAUGAAAAUUUUGUUCAUAUAUAAAUAUUAAAAAAAAAAAUCAUAAUCAUCAAUAUAUAAUCUGUCCUCCCCCAGUGACGCUCCCCUCCCCCGCGGCCACCCCCGCUCCAGACCCGCCCCUGGACGCACUCAGUGAUCACGAUCUACAACACUACGUUAAAAUGCUCCUAACUAAACCUCCAAACUUCGAUACCGACUCUCCACCAAACCCGAGCGACGCUAAGGAACUAAACGAAGAGCCAACGAGCGACCGACCGGACCGGAACGACCGGAAUAACCGGGUCCGAAGGAGUCUUACCGGUGGGAAACCGCCUUGGAAAGCCUAGCUAGAAUUGUCAUCACAAAAAACGAGUGUACUUUAGACCACACGACCGAAGUAAAACGUCCUUACACCAGCUAACUCCCCAAGUCAAGCGUGUGUAAAGAACUUUUACUUCAAUUAUUGUUUUAAAAAUAUAUAUUACAUACUUAUAUAUACAUACUUAAAUGAGCUUUAGGUGUUAUAUAUUGAAUUGAAAUUAAUGUCUUUUGAACCGUUAUUUUUUGGUCUAAGUCAAGCUGCCAUCGGUUAGAAGAGUCAACUGAAAAUAUUUGAUAAGAAACUAAGUCGUUUUAUUCAUAAUAUCUCAAAAUAAAUAUAUGUAUACUAAAUGAUAUUGAAGCUACAAUUAGAUAGCAGUGUAGUCUAGAGAACGGCAAGAAUUUUAUUUAUUUAUUUAAAAUAAAUUCUGUACAUUUAUAAAUAUUAAUAAAAAUUUAUUACAUAUCCAUCAAUGUUUCAAUAAUAAAUAAAUGUAAUGUAAUGCCUCACUUUUGGGAAGAGAAUUCGUUGAUUUUUUUGUGUUUUAUUGCUCUUCUGUCUGUUAAUAUUCCUACAUCUAGUCUUCAUCCUCUCAAGUGAAGUUUGAAUCACUAGCUGGAUGAUUCUUUUAGGCUCUUGAGCCCGGUUUCUUUAUCCAAAAACACACACAAAGGCGCGCGCGCGCGCUAACACGCGCACUCUGUCUCACUCACACACAACGCAGCUCGCACUCUGUCUCACUCACACACAACGCAGCUCGCACUCUGUCUCACUCACACACAACGCACGCACGCACUCUGUCUCACUCACACACGCACGCACUCUAUCUCACUCACACACAACGCACGCACGCACUCUGUCUCACACACGCACGCACUCUAUCUCACUCACCCACACACGUGCGCGCCCGCUCACUCUGUCUCACUCACUCACACACACACACACACGCACGCAAAACAUGUUCGAUUUGUUUUUUGAAUAUUGAAACUGGACUUUAGCGAAAGAGAGUUUCUAUGUUUAUAAAAAAUUACGUACCACUCAAUUUUUUAUAUGGUGUUUGAAACGAAACGCGAGAAAAGGGUUCGUGAGAAAAACGAAUUGUUUUUUGAUUAAAGAAACUGGCAUUUUAACUUAUCAAUCAAAAACGUACAUGUAAGUCGUGUAACUUUUACAAUACUUCAAUUUGACAUAGAAAUUGUUAAUAUUUACUAAAUUCUAGUUGUUGGAUUAAUAUAAAAUGUUAAAUAUCUGUAGUUAGUAUUAAUAAGCUGUUUUCCUCGGCUUCACUUGCAUUUAUGUCAUUAUAAGUUGUAAUUAUCAUGAUAUUAUAAUGUUUUAUAAAUGAAUUUUGAACGUAAAACUUUGUACUUUAGAAAUGUGUUUACGAAAGAUUAACAGAUAAUUAUGAACAUGUUUGUUAUGUAUGUAACUAUUACUGUUUUUAGUCCAUUUCGUUAUUUCACAAAAUUCUGUGUCAUAUAAAUUGUAUUCUCUUAAUAUUCAUUGCAUAAAAAAAUGGCUAUGACAUCUAUAUGUGUCUUUUACUCCGUUGAUUACAAAAUCUAAUACGUAGUUUACUUAUUUUCAAUUAAGUAUUAUAGAACGUCUCCCACCCGUGUCUCAAAGAGCAGGUUUUUUUUAAGUUUUUUUUUUUCAUAGUAAAAUACAUACAAUACUUUGUCUCGGUAAGAACGUUAUUGUUUGCAGGAGGUGAUAAGAAAAUAAAAGUAGUAAUAUGAAUGUUUUGAAAAGUUUUGAAGUGUUUAAACUUUGGAAAUCAAUUAUUUUAAAUAAUUCUUGGUCCAAACUCAGGGUUACAAUUAUUAGAAUAUAAAAAAGAAAACU
rnacentral:misc_RNA from 1 species